rnacentral:tRNA from 1 species
GGGGUUAAAUCAAAAUAGGCCGACUAAGUAUGUAGAUCCAGUUGUAGAGGGCUUUCGGACGCGGGUUCGAUUCCCGCCGCCUCCACCA